rnacentral:misc_RNA from 1 species
UCCGUCUCAUAAUAGAUGUCGCUUUGACUUUUUCGUUACAACGUUUGACCCUUUGUUUUAUUUGAAAAAUUAGUGCAAAUAUAAAAAAGAUAAGUCAUAUUUAAAAUACUUUUGAUAAUAAAGCAAAUCACAAAUAAAAUAAAUAACAAUUGUAAAAAAUUUUUGAAUAAGACGAAUGAUCAAACAUUACAAAUAAAAACUCAAAGCGACAAGUAAUAUAGGAUGGAGGU